CCUGAGUAGCGGCGAGCGAAACGGGAAGAGCCCAAACCAAUAAGCUUGCUUAUUGGGGUUGUAGGACACUCUGCACGGAGUUACAAAAGAAUUUGUUAGACGAAUAACCUGGAAAGGUUAAUCAUAGAAGGUAAUAAUCCUGUAGUCGAAAACGAAUUCUCUCUUGAGUGGAUCCUGAGUACGACGGAGCACGUGAAAUUCCGUCGGAAUCUGGG
rnacentral:rRNA from 1 species